rnacentral:lncRNA from 1 species
GCAUCCCCGGCAGCCCGGCUGUCUGCCCCGCCACACCUGCUGGGCCUCAGAGCCAGCUCCAGCCCUCGGGAGACGCGCCAGAGCCGCAGGGGGGCCGCCCACGGCACAGGAGGCCGCCGCCCACAGCCUCACCCCUACCCGGGGCCGGGAGGGGCCCUCGGGGGCCGGGGGGCCACGGGCACCCCAUCCCACCUGCCCUGCGUUGCCCAGCGCUGGGUCCGGACGGCCCAUCUGCACGCCCGUCUGGUCCCAAAGCCGAGGAGCGAAGGAUGUGGCCCCGAGAAGCCCCCGUGCAGGAGGGAGCGUGGCCCCGGCCCCCAAGACAGGGGGCCACCCCGCUUUCUUGCAGGUGGGGUCUCUGUGGGCUCAGGACAGAAAUUUUAAGCCUGAAUUUAAAAAGCAAGCAUGGGGAUCCCUGGGGGCUCAGCGGUGGAGCGUGUCCCUUUGGCCCAGGAUGUGAUCCUGGAGUCCCGGCAUCGGGUCCCACACCGGACUCCCCGCGUGGAGCCUGCUUCUCCCUCUGCCUGAGGGGGCGUGUGUGCCAGGGAAGCCAUGCCUGACAGCCAAGUGGCAGUGCAAAGGCCCUGGGGCAGCCCUGCGCCCAGCCCGUCCAAGGAGGGCCAGGAGGUCAGCGUGGCCACAGGUGCGGAAACCGAGCCAGGAGGGAGCGUGAGGGCAGGGGACACGGUGGGGCGGCGGAGGGAGGACUUUGCCUCCUUCUCUGAUGGCGAAGCGGCUGGGGGUAGCUGCUGAGAAGCAGUCAGGCCCGGGACACGUUUUGCGACAAAACUGGAUGGGGGCGGGGCGGGGGGGUGUGAGGGCGACCCCAGGCUGGGCUACGUCUCCUGAGAGGGGGACCUGUGCUGACGACACGAGUCUGCAGGUCCGGCCUCGGCCCCACACUGGCCAGGCUUGGCCUCUGCCUGUCAGCUGCUUCCCCGCUUCUCUGGUGCUCUAGCAGGUGGUCUCUGCAGAAGCUUCUGGAAGCUGGUACGGCAGCAGCUGUCUUUGCAGGAAUUAGAAGAGCCUCCCUCCUCCGCCUGUCGGCCCCAUGAUUGCUGGCCCAGGGGCAGCCUGCGGGCGUCUAGGGAGGCCAGGCUCACAGGGACUGGCCCAGGCGCUGGAACACCGAGGCCUCCCCUCGGAUGGCUCCCCCGUCCCUUCCCACCGGGUCCUCACGGCCAGCGUCAGUGUCCGGCCCACUGCGUCCCAGGGUCUGCACCCACUUUGCCUUCGGAGCCAGGCCUCUGGGUCCACGCCCAGCACCCACAGGCUCUCUCGCUCUCUCGUGCUCUCUCCAGCUCCCCUGCUCCCUCAGCCAAGCCUGCCCCCCCCAGCGGUCAUGUGCCCAGGCCCCUGAGGACCAAGCCCAGCAGACGUCACGGGCGUCACACAGGACGGGCAUCCGGGGCCACCCCAGCCGGUCCCUCUCAUCGUGACCUCCGGGGGACCCCUUCACCCCCGCCCCCAGCCCCUGCGUGUCGCCCUCCGCCCUGGGCUGGCGGGGUCUCCUGUCUCACUAUGCAGGGGACACAACGGAUGGAAGCCUCGGGAGGGAGCCCAGAGGGGCACGGGGGCCUGAGGGUGCACCCGGCAGACCCGAGGGGGGAGCCCGCACGUCCACCCGGGAGCCGCGAGGUGCUGCGCCCGCUGGGGACGUCCGACGCUGUCCCGCUGCCACCAGGGCAAUCUGGUCCUCGUGGUCACACCCCGAGCCCUGAGCGUCUCGUGUGUGCAGAAGAGCUCCUAGGACACACGCAUUUUAACAAAAUCAUAAACGCCGUCACGUGGCUUGAGAAAUCCGGGAGCCUCCAUCGUAAGGCAGGAGGAUGGAGCUGAAGGACGUCCUGUGCCCGGCGGAGGGAAGCCGCCACGCUCCCAGGCGCCCUGAGGGGCGGUG